CUGGCUCAGGAUGAACGCUGGCGGCGUGCUUAACACAUGCAAGUCGAACGAUGAACCUCACUUGUGGGGGGAUUAGUGGCGAACGGGUGAGUAACACGUGAGUAACCUGCCCUUGACUCUGGGAUAAGCCUGGGAAACCGGGUCUAAUACUGGAUACGACCUUCUGGCGCAUGCCAUGUUGGUGGAAAGCUUUUGUGGUUUUGGAUGGACUCGCGGCCUAUCAGCUUGUUGGUGGGGUAAUGGCCUACCAAGGCGACGACGGGUAGCCGGCCUGAGAGGGUGACCGGCCACACUGGGACUGAGACACGGCCCAGACUCCUACGGGAGGCAGCAGUGGGGAAUAUUGCACAAUGGGCGCAAGCCUGAUGCAGCGACGCCGCGUGAGGGAUGAAGGCCUUCGGGUUGUAAACCUCUUUCAGUAGGGA
rnacentral:rRNA from 1 species